UAAUACAUUGUUGCUUUUGACAGUUGAACAUUAUUUGUUGUCAUGUAGAUGAUAUUUUGGUCUUUUUAAAUGUGUUAGACAUUAAAAAUGAAUGCUGUGUUAUGUCAUGUAACAAGUGUUAUAGACAGUUGAAUGCUAUGUUAUGUCAUGUGACAAGCGUUAUAGACAAUUGAAUGCUGUGUUAUGUCAUGUGACAAGUGUUAUAGAAAAUGGAAUGCUAUGUUAUGUCAUGUGACAAGUGUUAUAGACAAUGGGAUGCUAUGUUGUGUCAUUUGACAAGUGUUUUAGACUGUGGAAUGCUAUGUUAUGUCAUGUGACAAGUGUUAUAGACAAUGGAAUGCUAUGUUAUGUCAUGUGACAAGUGUUAUAGACAAUAGGAUUCUAUGUUAUGUCAUGUGACAAGUGUUUUAGACUGUGGAAUGCUAUGUUAUGUCAUGUGACAAGUGUUAUAGACAAUGGAAUGCUAUGUUAUGUCGUGUGACUGAUGUUUUAGAUAAAUGAAUGAUAUGUUAUGUCAUAUGACUGAUGUUUAAGCACAAGGAAUGACUCUAAUGUCAUAGAUUAUUUUGAAGUAGUGGGAAUAAUUUUCAUUUCAAGUAUCAUGUACUGAUGUUUCUGGGAAUAUGUAGCUCAGGUUUGGUGCUGGUUUUAUUUUAUUUCUUCCUUUAUCUUAACGAUGUUGUCAUUCCAUUUCAAUUUUCAUCAUUCAUUUGUUGUAUAUACAUCAGCACACUGACAAAGCCACUUCAAUUUGUAAGACAUUACAUAAUGAUUGACAUGUUUUCAAUAUAUACUUUAUGCCAGAGGCAGAUGUUUUACUCUGAAUGUCAUUCUAUUACAAACAGGCUUCUUCAGUAUAAAUAAAUGUUGUACAGAAUAAUUUCAUGGUAGGUAGAGAGGGAUUACCUCAGAAUACAUACAAAUUACAGUAGGACUUAGAGAGUUGAUUGUCCUGUAUAUACAUUUAAAGGAUACAGAAUUGUGGCCCAGAAAGCUAUUUCCAGUUUAUAUUCUACUGAAGGUAUUGUAUUCUGUAUGUUAAAAUGAAAGUUUCGAUAUUCUACAAUGUAUUCUGUAUGUAAAAUGAAGGUUUUGAUAUUCUACAGUGUAUCCUGUAUGUAAAAUGAAGGUUUUGAUAUUCAACAGUGUAUUCUGUAUGUAAAAUGAAGGUUUUGAUAUUCAACAGUGUAUUCUGUAUGUAAAAUGAAGGUUUUGAUAUUCUACAGUGUAUUCUGUAUGUAAAAUGAAGGUUUCGAUAUUCUACAGUGUAUCCUGUAUGUAAAAUGAAGGUUUUGAUAUUCUACAGUGUAUUCUGUAUGUAAAAUGAAGGUUUUGAUAUUCUACAGUGUAUUCUGUAUGUAAAAUGAAGGUUUUGAUAUUCUACAGUGUAUUCUGUAUGUAAAAUGAAGGUUUUGAUAUUCUACAGUGUAUCCUGUAUGUAAAAUGGAAGUUUUGAUAUUCUACAGUGUAUUCUGUAUGUAAAAUGAAGGUUUUGAUAUUCUACAGUGUAUCCUGUAUGUAAAAUGAAGGUUUUGAUAUUCUAGUGUAUUCUGUAUGUAAAAUGAAGGUUUUGAUAUUCUACAGUGUAUUCUGUAUGUAAAAUGAAGAUUUUGAUAUUCUACAGUGUAUUCUGUAUGUAAAAUGAAGGUUUUGAUAUUCUACAGUGUAUUCUGUAUGUAAAAUGAAGGUUUUGAUAUUCUAGUGUAUUCUGUAUGUUAAAAUGAAGGUUUUGAUAUUCUAGUGUAUUCUGUAUGUUAAAAUGAAGGUUUUGAUAUUCUACAGUGUAUUCUGUAUGUAAAAUGAAGGUUUUGAUAUUCUACAGUGUAUCCUGUAUGUAAAAUGAAGGUUUUGAUAUUCAACAGUGUAUUCUGUAUGUAAAAUGAAGGUUUUGAUAUUCAACAGUGUAUUCUGUAUGUAAAAUGAAGAUUUUGAUAUUCUACAGUGUAUUCUGUAUGUAAAAUGAAGGUUUUGAUAUUCUACAGUGUAUUCUGUAUGUAAAAUGAAGGUUUUGAUAUUCUACAGUGUAUUCUGUAUGUAUUGAUAUUAUUAUACAAUCACAACUUCGACCUAUGGUCAGCCAAUACAGCUGUGCAAUAAACAAUAUACAAUUA